rnacentral:rRNA from 1 species
GAUGAACGCUGGCGGCGUGCCUAAUACAUGCAAGUCGAGCGAACAGACGAGGAGCUUGCUCCUUUGACGUUAGCGGCGGACGGGUGAGUAACACGUGGAUAACCUACCUAUAAGACUGGGAUAACUUCGGGAAACCGGAGCUAAUACCGGAUAACAUGUUGAACCGCAUGGUUCAACAGUGAAAGACGGUCUUGCUGUCACUUAUAGAUGGAUCCGCGCCGCAUUAGCUAGUUGGUAAGGUAACGGCUUACCAAGGCAACGAUGCGUAGCCGACCUGAGAGGGUGAUCGGCCACACUGGAACUGAGACACGGUCCAGACUCCUACGGGAGGCAGCAGUAGGGAAUCUUCCGCAAUGGGCGAAAGCCUGACGGAGCAACGCCGCGUGAGUGAAGAAGGUCUUCGGAUCGUAAAACUCUGUUAUUAGGGAAGAACAAAUGUGUAAGUAGCUAUGCACGUCUUGACGGUACCUAAUCAGAAAGCCACGGCUAACUACGUG